ACCCUCCACAUUCCUUACCCAUCAGACAUAAACAUUGGUCUGGGUAGCCACACACGGAGGAAAAGUAGAACUGGAGUCGAGGUGGAUUCUUUCCUGGAAUACAAAUUGGUUUCCAGAAAGA
rnacentral:snoRNA from 1 species